rnacentral:rRNA from 1 species
GAUGAACGCUGGCGGCGUGCCUAAUACAUGCAAGUCGAGCGAACAGACGAGGAGCUUGCUCCUUUGACGUUAGCGGCGGACGGGUGAGUAACACGUGGGUAACCUACCUAUAAGACUGGGAUAACUUCGGGAAACCGGAGCUAAUACCGGAUAAUAUUUCGAACCGCAUGGUUCGAUAGUGAAAGAUGGCUCUGCUAUCACUUAUAGAUGGACCUGCGCCGUAUUAGCUAGUUGGUAAGGUAACGGCUUACCAAGGCAACGAUACGUAGCCGACCUGAGAGGGUGAUCGGCCACACUGGAACUGAGACACGGUCCAGACUCCUACGGGAGGCAGCAGUAGGGAAUCUUCCGCAAUGGGCGAAAGCCUGACGGAGCAACGCCGCGUGAGUGAUGAAGGUCUUCGGAUCGUAAAACCCUGUUAUUAGGGAAGAACAAACGUGUAAGUAACUGUGCACGUCUUGACGGUACCUAAUCAGAAAGCCACGGCUAACUACGUG